CAAUGGAAGGAGGAAAACAGGGGGAGUUGGGGAUCACUGACUAAUAGCAACAUUGCUUUUUGAUCCUUCGAUGUUGGCUCUUCCUAUCAUACCGAAGCAGAAUUUGGUAAGUGUUGGAUUGUUCACCCACUAAUAGGGAAUGUGAGCUGGGUUUAGACCAUCGUGAGACAGGUUAGUUUUACUCUACUGAUGGAGUCGUCGUCGCAACAGUAAUUGGGUGUAGUAUGAGAGGAACUGUCCAUUCAGAUAAUUGGUAUCUGCACCUGUCCAAUUGGGCAUUGAUGUGAAGCUAUCAUUUGCUGGAUUAUGGCUGAAUGCCUCUAAGCCAGAAUCUGUGCUGGAAGUGACAAUGUUUGGUCCUGCACAUGUGAAUGGAGUUAAGAUAGAGCUUUGCUCGUGAACCAAAUCAGGUGGGCUAGGCUCACCGGGUGGAAAUGCCUGGUGGGCUCAUCUAUGAAUUGCAAUCAUGAUAUGCGCGGGGGUGAAUCCUUUGCAGAUGACUUGAAUGGGAACGGGGUACUGUAAGCGGUAGAGUAGCCUUGUUGCUAUGAUCCACUGAGGUUAAGCCCUUGUUCUAUAGAUUU
rnacentral:ncRNA from 1 species